rnacentral:misc_RNA from 1 species
ACACCUCAACUCUCAUGGCUUGCCAUGAUGAGCUUGGACUUUGGGGGUCUUGCUGGCCUGCUGUCAGCUCCUCUCAAAUCUAUCAGCUUGCCAGUGUUUGGUGGCAUCACGGGUGUGAUAACUAUCUACGCUUGUGGUGUUUCCACCAGGUGUCCUCCAGCAAUGGGGGCCUCUGGAGCUCAUAAACGUCUCUCCGGGGACAGCUUUUUGAAC